AUCACUCUUAUCUCUCGCUCUCGUUCUCGCUCUGUUCCUUCUUCUUGCAAGCCCCAUCACUGCCUGUCUCUAGGGUUCAUGGAAGCCGACACCCGGAGCCACUUGUCCGCCGCUUCCAAGAGCCGCCAUCCGGUUUUGCAAUCCCGAUACGAUGCGUAUCUCGGGUUCGAGGAGUUGGAUGGAGGGGAGGACGAACCGCGACCGGAGUUCGCUUGCCCGUUCUGCUCUGAGGUCUUCGAUGUCGUGGGGCUGUGCUGCCACAUGGAUGAUGAGCAUCCGGUCGAGGCUAAGAACGGGGUGUGCCCUGUUUGUGCAGCUAGGGUUGGGAUGGACAUGGUUGGCCACAUAACAACACAACAUGCAAAUUUUUUAAAAAUACAGCGUAGGAGGAGAUACCACAAAGGAUCCUGGGGGUCCCACUCUACAAUUCUUUUGUUGAGAAAGGAUAAUACACUGGAAGGCAAUAUGCAAUCACUUGUGGGGGGUUCUUCUUUUACUCCCUCCAGUGCUGCACCUGAUCCAUUGUUGUCGUCAUUCAUUUUUAAUUUGCCAGUGAUUGAUCCAUCAGAAGAUGCCCGGCCUGAACCUUUGGAUGAACGAAGUAUGGAUGAUAAAAUUUCAGAGGAGAAAUUGGUUGAGAGUGUUGUGCCAUGUCCACUACACCAAGAUCGGGAGGAGAGUGCUCGGAGGAGCGAGUUUGCGAGCCAGAUUGUGAUCUCUACAAUAUUCGAUGAUGCAUUAUGAACUCCUCCAGCUCUCAUGGUGGCAUCAGCAGCAGCUCACGAGACAAUCUGGACAUGGUUAGAGGUUGCUGCAAUGGUGAUACCGGACCUGAACCAGAUUUGCGGCAGCUAGAUUUAGUCCCACAUCGAGGAAGUACGAGGAGGCCAGCGACCACGGAGCGUACAAGAGGAGAGUGAGGCCGCUAUAGUUCCAUACUUACCUGGACGGGGUCGAUGGGCGAACAAGUAGGCCCAUGGCCUGGGUCUGUGACCUCCAUUGCACUUUGGAGGGGUGCUGGCCCACCAUCUCCCCAAGUGGGAGAGUGGACGUCAUAAUUUGUGGUAGAUGGGGGUACGCGUCCGCGCGGCCCCUGCCAAAUCAUUAUCUAAAUCCUUAUGUGGGCCAUUUGGGAUCCAUUUUUAUCUCCGUUAUAUUAAAUCCUUUUUGUUCGAGCAAUCAAGAGUACACGCAUCUUAAAGCUCUUAACCCUCCUCCGCUUGAUUUCUCUUCUAAUAGCCUUCGCCUUGUAAAAAUUGAAAGUUUUAAGGAGGCAUCACGAGGCGAUUAGGUUGGAAUUUCUGGUUCCUCGUUCUUCCGGAGAUAUAAAGCUCAUUUUGGUAGGAAUAAGCGCUCAUACAGAACUUAAUUAUUUUGGAGAAGCAAUCGUCAUUGUUAGUCUUUAGAGAGGUUUAAUUUAUUGAUCCUUCUUCCUCUGGCAACCCUUGAUGUUACUGUCUGAGCAAUGAAGUUAA